CACCUCUUGGGUUUGCACCUGGAGAGUUUCCAGUACUUUACCAGUCUCAGGAGGAAGAGUCAAGCAGAGGCAUAGCCAUUCCAUUUCUAGCUUGGGCAGUGGCUAGUGAGUGGAAGGCAAUCUGCUACAAGU